rnacentral:rRNA from 1 species
ACAUGCAGAGAACUUUCCUAGAGAUGGAUUGGUGGCCUUCGGGAACUCUGACACAGGUGGCUGCAUGGCUGUCGUCAGCUCGUGCCGUGAGAUGUUGGGUUAAGUCCCGUAACGAGCGCAACCCUUGUCCUUAGUUACCAGCACGUUAUGGUGGGCACUCUAAGGAGACUGCCGGUGACAAACCGGAGGAAGGUGGGGAUGACGUCAAGUCAUCAUGGCCCUUACGGCCUGGGCUACACACGUGCUACAAUGGUCGGUACAAAGGGUCGCCAAGCCGCGAGGUGGAGCUAAUCCCAUAAAACCGAUCGUAGUCCGGAUCGCAGUCUGCAACUCGACUGCGUGAAGUCGGAAUCGCUAGUAAUCGUGAAUCAGAAUGUCACGGUGAAUACGUUCCCGGGCCUU